UUAACUGGCAGACAUCUUACGAUGCGUUGACUGUGAAACUUAAAAAUAAUUUUGUUUAUAUAGAAAACCACGACCAUCGAUAUACACAAAUCAGAUAUUGCAAUACACUUACGUUGAGAAUGUGGUUGAAAGCAUCGAGCAAGACCAAUACGACCUGUUGAGAAAGUAGAACAUCGGAUGAUUAUAAUUAUAAAGGCGAAAACAACAGGUAGAAGACCAGCGUCAAUAACAGCCUUCGAUUGCAAAGAAGAGUACAUGAUCAAAUUCUUGGUACAAGGAAGGCAUGAAUAGCAGAAGGAUUUAUAUAAUGCUACAAAAAGGUAAGAGACAUGAUCUAACUCACCUGAAUUUGCCUUUCAUUACCCGCAGUGAUGUUCGAAAGUGCCCAAGCUGCUUCCUGGAAAUCAGUUGAAAUUUUGCAUUAAACUUAAAAUGAUACUCUCAUAGUUACAACAUAUGGUUGCAUCAGGUGAAAUGACUCAUAUAAAGCCAUUAUUUUAGACAGAGUACCUUAACUAAUGUGUUUUUCUUGUGUGUCAACAGUGCUUCAAAGUAAUCCAAUGCUUUAAGAUCCAAUACAUGCUAAUAUUUUCGAGAAAAAAAGUAAGUAUUAAUCUGUUAGAGUUGUAAUCAUAAUUCAACUUUUAUAAUUUCCAUGGUUUCCAA